UGGGGAAUAUUGCACAAUGGGCGCAAGCCUGAUGCAGCCAUGCCGCGUGUAUGAAGAAGGCCUUCGGGUUGUAAAGUACUUUCAGCGGGGAGGAAGGGAGUAAAGUUAAUACCUUUGCUCAUUGACGUUACCCGCAGAAGAAGCACCGGCUAACUCCGUGCCAGCAGCCGCGGUAAUACGGAGGGUGCAAGCGUUAAUCGGAAUUACUGGGCGUAAAGCGCACGCAGGCGGUCUGUCAAGUCGGAUGUGAAAUCCCCGGGCUCAACCUGGGAACUGCCAUCGGAACUUGCAGGCUAGAGUCUUGUAGAGGGGGGUAGAAUUCCAGGUGUAGCGGUGAAAUGCGUAGAGAUCUGGAGGAAUACCGGUGGCGAAGGCGGCCCCCUGGACAAAGACUGACGCUCAGGUGCGAAAGCGUGGGGAGCAAACAGG
rnacentral:rRNA from 1 species